CCUCGGGAGGCUGCAGUGGGGAAUAUUGGACAAUGGGGGCAACCCUGAUCCAGCCAUGCCGCGUGUGUGAAGAAGGCCCUCGGGUUGUAAAGCACUUUCAGUGAGGAAGAACGCCUGGUGGUUAAUACCCAUCAGGAAAGAUAUCACUCACAGAAGAAGCACCGGCUAACUCCGUGCCAGCAGCCGCGGUAAUACGGAGGGUGCGAGCGUUAAUCGGAAUUACUGGGCGUAAAGCGCGCGUAGGUGGCUUGAUAAGCCGGUUGUGAAAGCCCCGGGCUCAACCUGGGAACGGCAUCCGGAACUGUCAAGCUAGAGUGCAGGAGAGGAAGGUAGAAUUCCCGGUGUAGCGGUGAAAUGCGUAGAGAUCGGGAGGAAUACCAGUGGCGAAGGCGGCCUUCUGGACUGACACUGACACUGAGGUGCGAAAGCGUGGGUAGCAAACAGGAUUAGAUACCCUUGUAGUC
rnacentral:rRNA from 1 species